AACUCUUCUUUUUGUCUAACAUGGGUGGGUGUUUUACAAUCUUCAUUUCUCUAACUGAUUUUACUACUGGCAUGCAAGGUUGCUUCUUACAAAGAUGAAGUAUGGAAAUCUGCAACUGCAACAUACAUCAAAGAUAAAGAUAGUUCUCUCAUAAGAGGAGGAGCUUGUUGUUAUGGAGACAUUCACAAGGUUGAUUAUGGAAAAUAUAGUACAGGAUUAAGCACCAUUUUGUUCAAUAGAGCUGAUUAUGGUGGAUGGUGUAAUUCUCCAUAUGAACAUUUUGAGAUGUCAGAAGCUGCAUUCGCUGAAAUUGCCAAGAGAAAAUCUGAUAUAGUGCCAGUUCAAUAUAGAAGGUACAAAAAAUAUUGCUUCAACGUGACAAAUUGAUUGACUAAGGGUCUAUUUAACUAUUUUGAUACGUACUUGUGAGACUGAUAGAGAGAACUUAUGAAAACAACGUACAGCAAUGUCGUCCAUAAGCUGUUUUUAGUUUAUUAAACUGCCUAUAUGAAAACAAUUGACUUUAUUUUAUCUUUUUCCAUAAAAAUAGCUUAUAAAUAAGCACUUGUAAGCUAAUACAUUGUAUUAAAUGGCGUUUGUGGUGCUAACCUUUAUAUUUCGGCAAAAUGCUGGAAAAUGAGGUUCAUGCGGUUUAAAUUGCCAUUGCGAUACUGUUGUGGAGACCACAAAAUUCUUUAAAC